rnacentral:rRNA from 1 species
UCUCCAGACUCCUACGGGAGGCAGCAGUGAGGAAUAUUGGUCAAUGGGAGAGAUCCUGAACCAGCCAAGUCGCGUGAGGGAAUAAGGCCCUACGGGUCGUAAACCUCUUUUGCCGGGGAGCAAGGGCGGGGACGUGUCCCGGCCCGGAGAGUACCCGGAGAAAAAGCAUCGGCUAACUCCGUGCCAGCAGCCGCGGUAAUACGGAGGACGCGAGCGUUAUCCGGAUUUAUUGGGUUUAAAGGGUGCGUAGGCGGGCUUUUAAGUCAGCGGUAAAAAUUCGGGGCUCAACCCCGUCCGGCCGUUGAAACUGGGGGCCUUGAGUGGGCGAGAAGAAGGCGGAAUGCGUGGUGUAGCGGUGAAAUGCAUAGAUAUCGCGCAGAACUCCGAUUGCGAAGGCAGCGCACCGGCGCCCUACUGACGCUCAGGCACGAAAGCGUGGGUAUCGAACAGGAUUAGAUACCCUUGUA